rnacentral:misc_RNA from 1 species
CCAAUAGCGUAUAUUAAAGUUGUUGCAGUUAAAAAGCUCGUAGUUGAAUUUCGGGAUCAGUAGGUCGGUCGUGCCACUGGUAUGAACUGGUCUCACUGGUUCCUCCCUCUUGACGAACUGCAAUGCUAUUAAUUUAGUGUUGUAGGAAAUCAGGACUGUUACUUUGAAAAAAUUAGAGUGUUUAAAGCAGGCUUUGGCUUGAAUACAUUAGCAUGGAAUAAUGAAAUAGGACGUUCGAUCCUAUUUUGUUGGCUUCUAGGAUUGACGUAAUGAUUAAUAGGGACAGUUGGGGGCAUUAGUAUUCAAUUGUCAGAGGUGAAAUUCUUGGAUUUAUUGAAGACUAACUACUGCGAAAGCAUUUGCCAAGGAUGUUUUCAUUAAUCAAGAACGAAAGUUAGGGGAUCGAAGACGAUCAGAUACCGUCGUAGUCUUAACCAUAAACUAUGCCGACUAGGGAUCGGAUGAUGUUAAUUUUUUAAUGACUCGUUUGGCACCUUACG